UUUGUUGUCUUCCGCCUGCCUUGAGCUGUUCUCCUCUGCAGUGCCCCUGUGCCAGCCACCCCUCCUUGGGGCCAGGCAACCAUGAACUGAAACCUCUGCACACUGUGAGCUAAAUAAGCCUUUCCCCUUUAACUGGGUGUCUGGUAACCAGAAAAGGAACUAAGGCAGGUGCCCAGGGCGUGGGUAGUCGUCGGGAGGGACUGUGCUGAGCUCAGGAGUCAGACUGCAAGCGGUGGGUGUAGCGGCGAGUGCAGAGACAGCACCUGACAGCUGCAGAAGGUUCAUGUGAACCACUUCAAAAGAAGCGCGAUCCUCCAGAAAGGAAUGGGUAAAGGCCAUGAGCGGGCCAUUCACGGAGAAAGACAAGCGUUCAGAAAUCCCGCAAAGAUCCAGCUCUUCGGGCUGGGGAUUUAGCUCAUCGGCAAAGCGCCUGCCUGGCAAGUGCAAGGUCGUGAGUUUGGUUCCCGGUAACCGAGAAAAACAAAAACAAAACAAAAAAAGAUCCAGCUCUUCAUUCAACCUUAAAUGAGGAUCGGGACAAGCAGAGAGAAGAACAACCUGUCCCCACCACUUAAGGUGUGUUGAUUGCCUUGAGGGCUCCCCGAAAAGUUUGCCAGAGACAAAGGGGCCGCUCACUACCAGCACUUCCUGCCAAACAAAGGCCACUGAGGACAUCUAGGAGAGAACCAGAGUGCCGGGCACCGCAGCCGUCUCCAGCGUCCUCCUUUGGUGUCGGUGAAAUCUGUCCUGCGGGCUAGCGUGGCUUCCCCUGAUGCCUGCGCCGCUUCCUCCAGGGAGGACUUUUUCUUGCUUGUCCCAGGCUCGCCCUGCAGAGCCAGUUUCUCCCUCACCCUUCACUUUUACUUUUUCGAAUAAACUUUGUCACCCCCUUGAAAAAGAAAUCUAUUCUGUGUUCAGGAGCAGCAGAACCUCUCUGGCUAAACUGCAGACAGCAAGCCCCGGUCCCAGCCCUGGGGCGUCUGAAGGGUGUCUCAAGCAGGGAGGCGUGGGCUCAGGAGCUCAGAGUAGAGACCUCCCUGCAAUAGCUGUCUCCCGCAGGCUGGGGACUCCAGGGAAUCCCAGCCUGGCGUGUUGGGGGAAGGCUGGGCUCAGAACAUCGAGAGCAGUUGCUCUGCGAUUCGCUCACCAUCCUGGAAAGCAACUUGGCUUCCCUACGCCGAAGGAUUUUCAAAUGGGAGGAGGAGCAGUAGCAAUGACAAUAACUGCACCUACCUCCUGGGGCUGCUUCCAGAACCUACGCGCCUGGGCCUGGCGCACGUGAGUGAGGGCUUCAUGAGGGUCACCGGCCACAAUUAUCUGAGCAAGUAGCCCUGGGGUGGGUCACUGGGUGCUGGACUUCGAAGUGAUGACAACUCAUCCUCUUUCUGGCAU